GGGUCUGGCUCUUGUAUAUGUUUCUNGGAACAUAACGUCACAGAGGGUGAGAAUCCCNUGCGAUGAGAUGAUCCAGGCCUAUGUAAAGUUCCUUCGAAGAGUCGAGUNGUUNGGGAAUGCAGCUCUAAGUGGGUGGUAAAUUCCAUCUAAAGCUAAAUAUUGGCGAGAGACCGAUAGCGAACAAAUACAAUGAUGGAAAGAUGAAAAAAUCUUUGAAAAGAGAGUGAAAAAGUACGUGAAAUUGUUGAAAGCGAAGGCCUUGAGAUCAGACUUAGUAUCUUGUAUGUUACUUCUUCGGGGGUGCCCUCUACAGUUUAUCGGGGAAGCAUCAGUUUGGGCGGUAGGAGAAUUGCGUUGGAAUCGGAAAUUACUUCGGUUGUGUGUUAUAGUCCUUCGUCGAUACUGCCAGCCUAGACUGAGGACUGCGGUCGA
rnacentral:rRNA from 1 species